UAAAGAAAGUUAAUACCAGCUCGUCCAC
rnacentral:sRNA from 1 species